GCCCGCGGAAGAUUAGGUAGUUGGUGGGGUAAAGGCCUACCAAGCCGACGAUCUAUAGCUGGUCUGAGAGGACGAACAGCCACAUUGGAACUGAGACACGGUCCAGACUCCUACGGGAGGCAGCAGUGAGGAAUAUUGGGCAAUGGAGGAAACUCUGACCCAGCCAUGCCGCGUGAGUGAAGAAGGUUUUCGAAUUGUAAAGCUCUUUCGGAUGUGAAGAUGAUGACGGUAACAUCUAAAGAAGCCCCGGCAAACUUCGUGCCAGCAGCCGCGGUAAUACGAAGGGGGCAAGCGUUGUUCGGAAUUACUGGGCGUAAAGGGUGUGUAGGCGGGAAAGUAAGAUAGUGGUGAAAUGCCUGAGCUCAACUUGGGAACUGCCAUUAUAACUAUUUUUCUAGAGUGACAGAGAGGAUAUUGGAAUACCCAGUGUAGAGGUGAAAUUCGUAGAUAUUGGGUAGAACACCGGAGGCGAAGGCGAGUAUCUGGCUGUCAACUGACGCUGAGGCACGAAAGCAUGGGGAUCAAACAGGAUUAGAUACCCUGGUAGUCCAUGCUGUAAACGAUGAAUGCUAGUUGUCGGCGAAUGUCG
rnacentral:rRNA from 1 species